UACGUAGGGUGCAAGCGUUGUCCGGAAUUAUUGGGCGUAAAGAGCUCGUAGGCGGUUUGUCGCGUCUGCUGUGAAAACGCGAGGCUCAACCUCGCGCCUGCAGUGGGUACGGGCAGACGUAGAGUGCGGUAGGGGAGAUUGGAAUUCCGGGGUGGUAGCGGUGGAAUGCGUAGAGAUCCGGAAGAACACCGGUGGCGAAGGCGGCC
rnacentral:rRNA from 1 species